CCUACGGGUGGCAGCAGUGAGGAAUAUUGGUCAAUGGGUGCGAGCCUGAACCAGCCAAGUCGCGUGAGGGAAGACGGUCCUAUGGAUUGUAAACUGCUUUUGUACGGGAAUAACGCGCCUUACGUGUAGGGCUUUGCAUGUACCGUAUGAAUAAGGACCGGCUAAUUCCGUGCCAGCAGCCGCGGUAAUACGGAAGGUCCGGGCGUUAUCCGGAUUUAUUGGGUUAAAAGGGAGCGUAGGCCGCAUGUCAAGCGUGCUGUGAAAUGUCCGGGCUCAACCCGGGCCUUGCAGCGCGAACUGGCGUGCUUGAGUCCGCGGAAAGCAGGCGGAAUUCGUCGUGUAGCGGUGAAAUGCUUAGAUAUGACGAAGAACCCCGAUUGCGAAGGCAGCUUGCUGCAGCGGAACUGACGCUGAUGCUCGAAAGCGCGGGUAUCGAACAGGAUUAGAUACCCGAGUAGUC
rnacentral:rRNA from 1 species